UGGGGAAUUUGGACAAUGGCGAAAGCCUGAUCCAGCAAUGCCGCGUGUGUGAAGAAGGCCUUCGGGUUGUAAAGCACUUUUGUCCGGAAAGAAAUCCUUGGCUCUAAUACAGUCGGGGGAUGACGGUACCGGAAGAAUAAGCACCGGCUAACUACGUGCCAGCAGCCGCGGUAAUACGUAGGGUGCAAGCGUUAAUCGGAAUUACUGGGCGUAAAGCGUGCGCAGGCGGUUUGCUAAGACCGAUGUGAAAUCCCCGGGCUCAACCUGGGAACUGCAUUGGUGACUGGCAGGCUAGAGUAUGGCAGAGGGGGGUAGAAUUCCACGUGUAGCAGUGAAAUGCGUAGAGAUGUGGAGGAAUACCGAUGGCGAAGGCAGCCCCCUGGGCCAAUACUGACGCUCAUGCACGAAAGCGUGGGGAGCAAACAGGAUUAGAUACCCUGGUAGUCCACGCCCUAAACGAUGUCAACUAGUUGUUGGGGAUUCAUUUCCUUAGUAACGUAGCUAACGCGUGAAGUUGACCGCCUGGGGAGUAC
rnacentral:rRNA from 1 species